AACACAAUCACAAUCGUGUUACAUUAGGUGCUGUUCUUUGCUGAAGGUCUGCCCUUCCUUUAGAGAGGUGAAUGGGAGAGGAAGGGAGGGCACGGAUAGGAGGCAGGAGUGACUUUGCCCAGAGGAUGGAGUGGCAGAACUGCAAAUGGAAACUGUGUCAUAAAUCUGUCCUGCCCACUGGGCAGCAUUGUCCCUUACAGGAGCUCAAAAGUAAGAUGCUGAGCUGGCAGCGGGAAGUUCACAGCCGAAACUUUAGUCUGGGGGCUCCAGGAACCUUUGGGUACCUCUGAAAUUUUCUUCCCUCAGGCCAUCUCAUGAACGUCACAUCACUAGCUGCCAAUACUAAUUCUUGUGUCCAUGCUUGGGUUUCUUUUUUUUUCUUCCUUUUCUGAGCUCCAACUUUAAUAAGCCUCCUGGGCUUUUUUGAAGAUUUCAUCUGCAACUGCAAAUAAACCCUUGUGUACUGUGACGCUUCUAUUUGGAUUAAAAAUCCAAGUGACCUUGUUUUAAAGACUGAACAAAGAGCUCUUGAAGAUACAUGGAGAUGGAUACUCGACACACACCCGAACUCAAACCUGGAGAACAGAAAAAAUUAGUGACGUGGUUCCCCAGCGGGAUGUUAGAUAUGCUGACCCUAAGGAU